AGCCCCGGCUAACUCCGUGCCAGCAGCCGCGGUAAUACGGAGGGUGCGAGCGUUAAUCGGAAUUACUGGGCGUAAAGCGCAUGCAGGUGGUUUGUUAAGUCAGAUGUGAAAGCCCGGGGCUCAACCUCGGAAUUGCAUUUGAAACUGGCAGGCUAGAGUACUAUAGAGGGGGGUAGAAUUCCAGGUGUAGCGGUGAAAUGCGUAGAGAUCUGAAGGAAUACCGGUGGCGAAGGCGGCCCCCUGGACAGAUACUGACACUCAGAUGCGAAAGCGUGGGGAGCAAACAGGAUUAGAUACCCUGGUAGUCCACGCCGUAAACGAUGUCUACUUGGAGGUUGUGGCCUUGCGCCGUGGCUUUCCAAGCUAACGCGUUAA
rnacentral:rRNA from 1 species